rnacentral:rRNA from 1 species
GAUGAACGCUGGCGGCGUGCCUAAUACAUGCAAGUCGAGCGAACAGACGAGGAGCUUGCUCCUCUGACGUUAGCGGCGGACGGGUGAGAAACACGUGGAUAACCUACCUAUAAGACUGGGAUAACUUCGGGAAACCGGAGCUAAUACCGGAUAAUAUAUUGAACCGCAUGGUUCAAUAGUGAAAGACGGUUUUGCUGUCACUUAUAGAUGGAUCCGCGCCGCAUUAGCUAGUUGGUAAGGUAACGGCUUACCAAGGCGACGAUGCGUAGCCGACCUGAGAGGGUGAUCGGCCACACUGGAACGGAGACACGGUCCAGACUCCUACGGGAGGCAGCAGUAGGGAAUCUUCCGCAAUGGGCGAAAGCCUGACGGAGCAACGCCGCGUGAGUGAUGAAGGUCUUCGGAUCGUAAAACUCUGUUAUUAGGGAAGAACAAAUGUGUAAGUAACUAUGCACGUCUUGACGGUACCUAAUCAGAAAGCCACGGCUAACUACGUG